AAGGAUAGUGGUGGCGCGAAGGAGGCAAUGAGGGUGAUGGAAGAGGCGUAGGUGAGCUGAGUCAUCAAAAACAGGGAAAACGGCAUCCCACAAUUGAGUUGGACUGCAAGGUCAAAUUAUGUCUCAAGUUAUCGACAAAUUCAGUUAAAAAAGAUAGAUCGACAUCAGGUGAUAACAACUGUACAAAGUUACUUUAAUAAAGAGGAACAUAUAUGUACGACGUGUCUGUGGUUUAUACAUGUGUACAGGUGAACCCAUC
rnacentral:lncRNA from 1 species